GUCUUGGUGAUGAAAUGGUUAACAUCUAAGACUCCAAAUCUCAUGUUAAAAAGCGUGAAGGUUUGAGUCCUCAUCAAGGCA